UAAGCGGAGGAAAAGAAACUAACAAGGAUUCCCCUAGUAACUGCGAGUGAAGCGGGAAAAGCUCAAAUUUAAANUCUGGCGGUCUUUGGCUGUCCGAGUUGUAAUUUAGAGAAGCGUCUUCCGCGCCGGACCGUGCACAAGUCUCCUGGAAUGGAGCGUCAUAGAGGGUGAGAAUCCCGUCUUUGGCACGGAUGCCUGUGCUUCUGUGAUGCGCUCCCAAAGAGUCGAGUUGUUUGGGAAUGCAGCUCAAAAUGGGUGGUGAACUCCAUCUAAAGCUAAAUAUUGGCGAGAGACCGAUAGCGAACAAGUACCGUGAGGGAAAGAUGAAAAGCACUUUGGAAAGAGAGUGAAACAGUACGUGAAAUUGUUGAAAGGGAAACGCUUGAAGUCAGUCGCGUCGACCGAGACUCAGCCUUGCCUUGGCUCGGUGUACUUCUCGGCCCGACGGGUCAGCAUCAAUUUUGCCCCUCGGAUAAUGGCAAGGGAAAGGUGGCACCUUUGCGGGUGUGUUAUAGUCUCCUGUCGCAUGCGAGGGGUGGGAUUGAGGAACUCAGCGCGCACCUUGGUGUCGGGGCUUCGGCCCACGUCACGCGCUUAGGAUGCUGGCGUAAUGGCUUUGAACGACC
rnacentral:rRNA from 1 species